GUUCUGUAAGCCUGUGAAGGUGGCCUGUGAGGGUUGCUGGAGGUAUCAGAAGUGCGAAUGCUGACAUAAGUAACGAUAAAGCGGGUGAAAAGCCCGCUCGCCGGAAGACCAAGGGUUCCUGUCCAACGUUAAUCGGGGCAGGGUGAGUCGACCCCUAAGGCGAGGCCGAAAGGCGUAGUCGAUGGGAAACAGGUUAAUAUUCCUGUACUUGGUGUUACUGCGAAGGGGGGACGGAGAAGGCUAUGUUGGCCGGGCGACGGUUGUCCCGGUUUAAGCGUGUAGGCUGGUUUUCCAGGCAAAUCCGGAAAACCAAGGCUGAGGCGUGAUGACGAGGCACUACGGUGCUGAAGCGACAAAUGCCCUGCUUCCAGGAAAAGCCUCUAAGCAUCAGGUAACAUCAAAUCGUACCCCAAACCGACACAGGUGGUCAGGUAGAGAAUACCAAGGCGCUUGAGAGAACUCGGGUGAAGGAACUAGGCAAAAUGGUGCCGUAACUUCGGGAGAAGGCACGCUGAUAUGUAGGUGAAGCGACUUGCUCGUGGAGCUGAAAUCAGUCGAAGAUACCAGCUGGCUGCAACUGUUUAUUAAAAACACAGCACUGUGCAAACACGAAAGUGGACGUAUACGGUGUGACGCCUGCCCGGUGCCGGAAGGUUAAUUGAUGGGGUUAGCGGUAACGCGAAGCUCUUGAUCGAAGCCCCGGUAAACGGCGGCCGUAACUAUAACGGUCCUAAGGUAGCGAAAUUCCUUGUCGGGUAAGUUCCGACCUGCACGAAUGGCGUAAUGAUGGCCAGGCUGUCUCCACCCGAGACUCAGUGAAAUUGAACUCGCUGUGAAGAUGCAGUGUACCCGCGGCAAGACGGAAAGACCCCGUGAACCUUUACUAUAGCUUGACACUGAACAUUGAGCAUUGAUGUGUAGGAUAGGUGGGAGGCUUUGAAGUGUGGACGCCAGUCUGCAUGGAGCCGACCUUGAAAUACCACCCUUUAAUGUUUGAUGUUCUAACGUUGGCCCGUAAUCCGGGUUGCGGACAGUGUCUGGUGGGUAGUUUGACUGGGGCGGUCUCCUCCUAAAGAGUAACGGAGGAGCACGAAGGUUGGCUAAUCCUGGUCGGACAUCAGGAGGUUAGUGCAAUGGCAUAAGCCAGCUUGACUGCGAGCGUGACGGCGCGAGCAGGUGCGAAAGCAGGUCAUAGUGAUCCGGUGGUUCUGAAUGGAAGGGCCAUCGCUCAACGGAUAAAAGGUACUCCGGGGAUAACAGGCUGAUACCGCCCAAGAGUUCAUAUCGACGGCGGUGUUUGGCACCUCGAUGUCGGCUCAUCACAUCCUGGGGCUGAAGUAGGUCCCAAGGGUAUGGCUGUUCGCCAUUUAAAGUGGUACGCGAGCUGGGUUUAGAACGUCGUGAGACAGUUCGGUCCCUAUCUGCCGUGGGCGCUGGAGAACUGAGGGGGGCUGCUCCUAGUACGAGAGGACCGGAGUGGACGCAUCACUGGUGUUCGGGUUGUCAUGCCAAUGGCACUGCCCGGUAGCUAAAUGCGGAAGAGAUAAGUGCUGAAAGCAUCUAAGCACGAAACUUGCCCCGAGAUGAGUUCUCCCUGAGACUUAGAGUCUCCUGAAGGAACGUUGAAGACGACGACGUUGAUAGGCCGGGUGUGUAAGCGCAGCGAUGCGUUGAGCUAACCGGUACUAAUGAACCGUGAGGCUUAACCUUACAACGCCGAAG
rnacentral:rRNA from 1 species